GGCCCGCUGCUUGCAAUCACCUGACACGCAGUCAACGCUGAUUGCGCAUAUACGACAAAGGCGCCGU
rfam:Pseudomonas sp. VI4.1 NODE_69_length_34482_cov_16.3012, whole genome shotgun sequence.